GACGUAGGGCGCGAGCGUUGUCCGGAUUUAUUGGGCGUAAAGAGCUCGUAGGCGGCUCGUCGCGUCGACCGUGAAAACCCGCGGCUUAACUGCGGGCUUGCGGUUGAUACGGGUGGGCUAGAGUUCGGUAGGGGAGACUGGAAUUCCUGGUGUAGCGGUGAAAUGCGCAGAUAUCAGGAGGAACACCGGUGGCGAAGGCGGGUCUCUGGGCCGAUACUGACGCUGAGGAGCGAAAGCGUGGGGAGCGAACAGG
rnacentral:rRNA from 1 species